GAUGAAGAACGCAGCGAAAUGCGAUAAGUAGUGUGAAUUGCAGAAUUCAGUGAAUCAUCGAAUCUUUGAACGCACAUUGCGCCCGUCAGUAUUCUGGCGGGCAUGCCUGUUCGAGCGUCAUUACGCCCCUCAAGUCCCCUGUGGACUUGGUGUUGGGGAUCGGCGAGGCUGGUUUUCCAGCACAGCCGUCCCUUAAAUUAAUUGGCGGUCUCGCCGUGGCCCUCCUCUGCGCAGUAGUAAAACACUCGCAACAGGAGCCCGGCGCGGUCCACUGCCGUAAAACCCCCCAACUUUUUAUAGUUGACCUCGAAUCAGGUAGGACUACCCGCUGAACUUAAGCAUAUCAAUAAGCGGAGG
rnacentral:misc_RNA from 1 species